rnacentral:rRNA from 1 species
UACGUAGGGUGCAAGCGUUGUCCGGAAUUAUUGGGCGUAAAGAGCUCGUAGGCGGCUUGUUGCGUCGACCGUGAAAACCCGUGGCUCAACUGCGGGCUUGCGGUCGAUACGGGCGGGCUAGAGUUCGGUAGGGGAGACUGGAAUUCCUGGUGUAGCGGUGAAAUGCGUAGAUAUCUGGAGGAAUACCGGUGGCGAAGGCGGCAUCCUGGACCGACAUUGACGCUGAGGAGCGAAAGCCAGGGGAGCAAACGGG